rnacentral:rRNA from 1 species
CUUGCUUCUUUGCUGGCGACCGGCGCACGGGUGAGUAACACGUAUCCAACCUGCCCUUUACUCGGGGAUAGCCUUUCGAAAGAAAGAUUAAUACCCGAUAGCAUAAUGAUUCCGCAUGGUUUCAUUAUUAAAGGAUUCCGGUAAAGGAUGGGGAUGCGUUCCAUUAGGUUGUUGGUGGGGUAACGGCCCACCAAGCCUUCGAUGGAUAGGGGUUCUGAGAGGAAGGUCCCCCACAUUGGAACUGAGACACGGUCCAA